CCUAAAAUUACUAUUACACUUGCACUUACACUUACAUUACACUGUAAAUUCUAUAAAAAAACACUAAAACAGAUCAAGAAAUCUAUGCACACUGUGGAUUAAACAGUGUUUUUCAUUGAUAAUUUUAUUGAUCUCCCAGGAUAUUUGGUUUGUGUGUGCAGUUGAGUUCUUGGCAACGUGGCUUGUUUGUUAUCAUAAUUUUUUUUUUCAUUUUUGUGUUUUUGUCUCAAAAUAGGGUGAGGGACAGACACCAACAUACAAUUUUCCUCUCAUGUCGAUCUUCCCUUUCCACCAACUAUCAUCAAACCCAUCGCCAGCCCUUGUUAUGCAUCACCAAACACAUCGCCUCUCCGUGUUAGAAAAAGGGUGGGGAUUUUUCCUUCGAGGAUCGGUUGUCAUCCAAGGAAGAAAGGAGCUAAAGGACAGAACAGCCAUGAGCAGUAGAUGAAAGCUACUUUUCAACUCGAAAGCCUUGGGGAAAUUUCUUGCAUUCUUGCUGAAAUAAUGGGAUGGGGCAAUAUUCUUAAAGCAUCGAAGAAUUGGCUGGAGAGAAAUAUCCAAGUCAUUGUUGUUACUGAUGGUGAGUGUAUCUUAGGGCUUGGGGAUCUUGGUUGCCAGGAAUGGCGAUCCCAAUAGGAAAACUCUCUCUAUAGACAACAUUAGGAGGAUUACGUCCCUUUGCAGUAAGUGCUUGCCUGUAGCAAUUGAUUUUGGCACAAACAAUGAGAAGUUGUUGAAUGAUGAGUUCUACAUUAGGCUUGGACAAAAGAGGGUAACUUUAUAGGUAGAGUAAUUUUACUUUAUUCCAUUUCCAAUCGACUGAUAUUUCAUCUUUUCUUUUCUAGAUUUUAAAUCAUUCUACAUCUCGAGAUUUUUGUUUUGUUAUUUGUUGUGGUAUAAGAAUAUGCAGAGCUUCUAGAUGAGUUUAGGACUGCAGUUAAAAAGAACUAUGGGGAAAAGUUCCUUAUACAGGUGAUGCACAACUGUUCUCUUUUAUUCGUUCCGGAGAAGAAAACUGCAUGCACAAAUUUAAUGGUCAUAUAAAAAUCUUUCAAAUAGAAUAGGUGAUAUAGAGAAACAUGUUGAAAUGGCAAACCAACUAAAGCAAUUAGUCGAUGAUAUUAAGAAAAUAGUGACUAGAAUCAUAUGAUUUUGAUGAGUCUGGGUUUGCAAUAGAUUAACCUGUCUGCUUUAAAUCCUGCACUGUAGCUAUUUGACAAAUAUGGUGAAAGAAACCUGCCUAUUUUACUUGAAACGUUUUGCCUGGAUCUCAUGCUUGAUUUUUCUUCAAUUGUUCUUCAGCUCCUAGGAUCCUUGCAUUCAAGGUCUUUCCCCCCCUUAACUCUUGCAGUCCACUUCAGUGCACCUUUGUCUUAAGAUUUUCUUUUUGUGGUCGAACUGAUUAACUUAUUGGUUCUUGACUAAAUUGACUGUAGGCCAGGUGCAUUAUUUUAAAACUUGACAAGGAUUAAACUGAAAAAAAAUUAUAGGAGUACUAUUAUUCUUGAGUAGUCUUAUGGUGUUGCUAGUUGAACAUGUUACUGAGCCAAUGAGAAUAAGUGAAGCUAAUACAGAUGAGGGGCUCGAAGGACAACCACAAAAGAACACAAAUAAGAAAAAGAAAGAGAAUUUAAUGAGAGAAAUAUUGCAGUUUAAGUUGGCAGGGUGCAUUUUAAUGGGUUAAAUUGUUGUGUUUGUCUUUUAUUUCUUCUUCUUUGUCAUUUCUUUCCACAUAUAUUUAAAAAUAAGAGAUGUCUUAGGAUCCAAGAAUUCAGUUUCUUAUGAUGCCAUGCCAUGCCAUGAUGACUGGAUGAAUGCUCUCUCUUCUAUUCUUAUUCCUAAAAAAGCUAAUAAUUUUCUCUUUGCGUAGGAAAGUCUAUUGCCUAAUAACUUUAUUUCUGCAAUCUGCAAUUAGAACAUAACAUUACAACCCCUGUCAAUGUUAGAUUUCCCUAUACAUGUGGGAUAUUCGGAAUAUAUGUUAUCAAUUGAUCUUUGUUUGCUAGGUGCAAAAGCAAAGCUGACAUGGUUGAUCUUGCUAGGAGGUCUCUUUUUUUGGACUAGAGAGGUAGAUUACCUUGUCCUUGUGGUUCCGAGAAGAUAUCAAAAUGACUUGGCUAAUGGACUUCGAAUAUUUUAUGCAUCUGAACAACAUAUCCGGCAUUAUUCUUGAAACGGAUCCUUAUUUUUCUACCAUAUGUACCUCUGCCAAUGUUAUGUAAUUUUUUUAUGUGAAAAACAGGGUUGGAAACGGCUGCACAUUUAACCUUUUUUCUAUAAAAAAAAAUGUUUGAUCUUA